rnacentral:rRNA from 1 species
GACGAACGCUGGCGGCGUGCUUAACACAUGCAAGUCGAACGGAAAGGCCCUGCUUUUGUGGGGUGCUCGAGUGGCGAACGGGUGAGUAACACGUGAGUAACCUGCCCUUGACUUUGGGAUAACUUCAGGAAACUGGGGCUAAUACCGGAUAGGAGCUCCUGCUGCAUGGCGGGGGUUGGAAAGUUUGGGCGGUUGGGGAUGGACUCGCGGCUUAUCAGCUUGUUGGUGGGGUAGUGGCUUACCAAGGCUUUGACGGGUAGCCGGCCUGAGAGGGUGACCGGCCACAGUGGGACUGAGGUACGGCCCAGACUCCUACGGGAGGCAGCAGUGGGGAAUAUUGCACAAUGGGCGGAAGCCUGAUGCAGCAACGCCGCGUGCGGGAUGACGGCCUUCGGGUUGUAAACCGCUUUCGCCUGUGACGAAGCGUGAGUGACGGUAAUGGGUAAAGAAGCACCGGCUAACUACGUG